rnacentral:rRNA from 2 species
AAAGGCGCAAUGAAAGUGAAGGUCCGCCUGGCGCGGACCGAGGGAGGAUGGGCGGACCCGAGGGACCGCCCCGCACUCCCGGGGCGUCUCGUUCUCAUCGCGAGAAGAGGCGCACCCAGAGCGUACACGCUGGGACCCGAAAGAUGGUGAACUAUGCCUGGUCAGGACGAAGUCAGGGGAAACCCUGAUGGAGGUCCGUAGCGAUUCUGACGUGCAAAUCGAUCGUCGGAACUGGGUAUAGGGGCGAAAGACUAAUCGAACCAUCUAGUAGCUGGUUCCCUCCGAAGUUUCCCUCAGGAUAGCUGGCGCUCGCUUCUGGCGAGUCUCAUUCGGUAAAGCGAAUGAUUAGAGGCAUUGGGGUCGAAACGGCCUCAACCUAUUCUCAAACUUUAAAUGGGUGAGAUCUCCGGCUUGCUUGAACUGUGAAGCCGCGAGAUAUCGGAUCAGAGUGCCAAGUGGGCCACUUUUGGUAAGCAGAACUGGCGCUGUGGGAUGAACCAAACGCCGAGUUAAAGCGCCUAAAUCGACGCUUAUGGGA